AGGUAAAGUGGCUGAGAGUAGGCGGCGGAUUGUAGCUCCGAGUACAGAGGUCAAAUACCUCUCUUUACCA
rnacentral:tRNA from 1 species